ensembl:lincRNA
AUGGCUGUCAGUGGGGUAUUGAGCCCCUCCCAUGCCAGACCAACAGUGCAUUCUCCAGACCAACUGCAUUCGUGGGCCACUUGUCGAGUAAUGGUUCUGUGCUACCCAUGGGCGACACUCUUUACAUAUGCUCUCAUUCAGUUGUCACAUGGGUUAUAUGAGGGCCUGCUACAGUGCCUGGCACAAAAUGGGAGUUUAGUUAAUGUCUGCCAGAUCAAUCCAGAAGGAGGCACUAGGGGAAGGCUUCAAGGCCUUUUUGUUGGAUGGACCAAGAGAACGGAGGAAGUGCUGGAUGGGACCUUAGAUCCAUCCAAGACCGUCCCUUGGUGGCAGGCCGCAGGUGAGGCUUUAUGCGGACUCAGAAUGUUUUAGGGCUGGAGUCUGCCAUAGCUAGCUUUGGAGAGACAGAGGUAAGAAAGUCCUUCCAAAAUCAGGGUGGAAAAUGUACAGUCAGAAGUGAUGACUGACGUUUUUUGCUGAAAAUUAAAACGGCGUCUAUUGAGGACCCAACCCAGUCAUGCCGGAGGUGAACUUAAGGCCUGGGUGGAAAGAUGGGUGACUGUCUUCUGGGGAGAGAGGCUUCCCUAUCAGCGGCUUUUCCCCGGACCUCCUUUCCAAGCAGAUGGCAGUCCUGAAGCGGAGCCCUCCAGUCUGACCCUGCCCGGGAGUGAUGAAGGGCAGGGUCAGCCCCACCUGCCUGCCUUGCCUAACCUGUCUGUCUGCUUCUGCAGGAAUUGCAUUCUUCUAGAGAAGAGCUGGGAGCUUCCUGCAGGGACAAAGCCGCAGGGGAAAUUUUACCGUGGGGCCACAUGGUCCCCAGUUGGGGGCGGUGGAGGGUGGCUGGUUUCGCGGGUGUUCCUUGUCCAGGCAGAGCCCCCCGUAAAUCUCCCACUGACCCGUGUGCCUCCAAGAGGGGCUCUUCCCUUCCCUCCUUUUUCCCAUGAAUCUCCUUGCUUCCUCCUUCCCCCUCAGCCCCAAGAUACUUCGCCUUAAUCUGCACAUCAGAGCUUCCCCAGGGGAACAGGCAUUCAGAGAGACUGCUCCAGAGAAAAGGAUUCCUUUUCGUUUCAGCACUGCUGCCCUCAAGCAGAGUUCUGACUGUGUGGAUUCCAGCUCUCUCCCUUGAGUUGCCGACUUAGACUCCAAAUCUGGACCUCCUUGUCUGGAUGCGUGACUCAGGGGAGCUGGAAGGACUCUCAGAAAUCCUGGUUCCCUCAUGGCAGGGGAGCUGGAGGACCUCGCUGAGGCCUACGUGUUUUCCCUUCAAGUUGCUACAGCACCUGAAACGCUUAUGACUCUUCCAGCACUUUAAAAGGUAACUUGUGGGAGGAUUAAUCUAGCAACUACGGUGCACAAGUAUACCAGUCUGUCAAAGGUUCCUUCCUGACAGCCAGCUAAGAGAGAUUCCUGGAGGGAGAGGUGCUUCUGGAGGAUAUUAACUACUUGAGGAGGGCCUCACCCUAGGGAGGUUGCCCAGAUGAUAGGAGCCCCACUGUUCUUGGGUAGGGCUGUCUUGUCUCUACCCUCCCCUCCCUGCCAUGGCUAAAGGCUCCUCUGAGGGAAUGCCCUGGAAGCAUUUCUCAAAAAGUGCAGCUCCCAGCCUUGCAGUGGACUUAGGAAGUCUUCCAAGUGGUCUGCAGACCAGUUCAAAAUGUACAGUCGGGGCGCCUGGGUGGCUCAGUGGGUUAAAGCCUCUCCCUUCAGCUCAGGUCAUGAUCCCAGGGUCCUAGGAUCGAGUCCCGCAUCGGGCUCUCUGUUCAGCAGAGAGUCUGCUUCCUCCUCUCUCUCUGCCUGCUGCUCU